rnacentral:lncRNA from 1 species
AGGAAGAGGAGAGAAUUUAAUCAUAAUGUUUUCCUUGCUACCCUUUUAUAGAUUGGGUUUAGGGCCUCUCCUAAUCUUAUUAGGAGUAUGGGACUAUAACCCAUCCUUGGAUUAAUGCCAAGUGUCCAAUCCUUGUGCUCAUAGAUGCAUGACAUGUGUCUACUUAAUCAAUUGAUUAAUUUUCUAAUCACAUUAGGAUUCCUAAUCUCAUUAGGAGAAUUAAUUGAUUUGGAAGUGGUGCACUCGCAAAAAUGCUCUCCCAAGUGCAGGAGAAUCGCACAAGCAGUAAAACUCGGGAGUCCGAGGUCGAUUCCUCAGGGAACGAAAUAUGGAUUAUUAGCGUAAUUUUAGAUUAAUUAAUUCAAUAAACUUGUGGAUUAAGAUGAUGUUUUGCAAAUAGAAAAUAAACCAGUAAAUAGAGAAUCGAAGUUUGGAUAGAUUAAGAUGGUGUAGGGAUCUGGAAUCCCCCUUGAUAAUAUUGCAUUCAAGAAAUAAAUUCUUCGGUUCUUGAUUAAAGAUGUAAAAGCAGAAUAGAUCAAAACAUGGGAUAUAUUUUAUGGACAUAUGAACUCUAUUUCUAAGCAUUCAUCGUGCCUAUUAUAUCAACGACAAAUCAAAUACUAAAGCGGUCCAUAUGUCAAUCAACAUAAAC